rnacentral:lncRNA from 1 species
GUAAUAUACAGUAAACGACAUAUUACAUAGCAAGAGGAAGUAAAGAGACUUAGCAUGAACAUAGUCUCCACAGCAGAUAGAAUUUACACAUUAAUUUUUAAAUGGUGUAAGAAAGUUUUGAUAAAUGAUCUAAUUCUGGUACUAGUUAUAGACCUUGAGAACUAGGGUACCCACAUUGCUAGUUUACCAUGGUAGCUACCCAUCAUCUCUCCGUGUCCUGAGACUAUGUGGGAACCUACACAAUCUUCCUGGCUCUGGUCUGCUGUCAUCAGAAACACCAAACACUUAAAAAAAGUGCCAAGUCACUGGACCUACGGGGUUAGUUCAUUUUGAAAACGGAACUGGACUUUCUACCAAGAACCAGAAAAAUGUUGAAAACAUAAAACAACAAGAAUCUGUGGUGUGUUUGUAAAAACCAAGCCUCUGACCCUGAUCUAAACCAGACUGUUCUCCUCCUGGCUUCCUCCCUUUUUCCUUUAAUUAAGCUAACUGGAAAGGCAAGGCUUUCAUCAGACCAAGACGACAAUCUUCCUACCCUAAUCUCUAGGACAAAACAGAGAAUCUGGUCUGGAAUUGAAUUUGAAAUAUUAAAGAAAAAUGCCUACCAGCUUAAUGUUGUCACUGUCGUAUGUUUAUUUUUCUUCCUUUUAUGUCUGAUGUCAAGGAGAAAAUAAUGUCAUCUGCUGGAAAUUUCAGCAUGUUUGCAUUUUGAGAUAAUUAAAAUUAAUGGUGGAGAGCCAAACUAGCACCAAACAAUCCCUGUGAUUCCCAUGUGCGUAAAAACAUUUUGUAAUGACUUUCACUUAAUCUGUGAGCCUGGCAGGCUGCCCCAAACCACCUAGAUCCAAACUAGAUUCAAGCAGCAAAGUUUGCUUUUCAAAAAUAAAAAUGUAUAUUCUGGAAGUUAGAAAUUAGGGCAUCGGUAAAAUAGUUAGGCUCUGCAGAUUGCUUUAUCCAUUUGGGGUUUUCCUCCAACUAUGUUUCUUCCUUUUCCAGCUUGGAUGGCAGGACUUCUAGUGCACAUGGCAAUAAUGUUGCACCUCACAGCUAUUGGAAAGGCAAGUCUUCCAUAGGAAGGAGCAGAAAUGAAUUUUCCUUAAGGAUCUGUAAACCCAGGAAACUCAGCUCUGAGAGAUCAUCUGUGAGAUUCAUUCAGUGAGGAAACUCAGACACAAUGGUCAUUUUUUGUAGGGCAGGUAGUAGUUGACAGGAUGUUUGACUUUUCAAUAGACUGCUUUACCAACUGUGUAACAGUCAAUGUGAUUCAUCCAUAAGAAUCUCUUGCUUAAUAUCUUUUAGUAACCUCUCAUCAUCCACAGGGUAAACCCCAAACUCCUAACCCCUUGGCAUGAAGCCCAAGGCUUUUCUUAAACUGGAGCAUUUUUAGUUUCUAGCUUCAUUUUCCUACUGACCAUCCCAUAUAUCACAGGCCAUAGCUAUCAAACACCUUGUAGUUUUCUGAACAUAUGGUGCUGUUCUGGGUACAUACUCUUCCCACUAUUUAGGAAACUCCUAAAUCACUUCAUGAAUAAUCUAGCACUUUACAUCUGGUAGAUGCUCAGUAUAUUUGCUGAAUAAAUAAAUUUUAGAGCUUAACUCAAAAAACGCUUUUUCUGACUCCCUACAUGAAAUAAGGACUCCAUUUUCUGUCUUUCCAAAAUUCCUUGGAUGUGCUUUAGCAUGGUGGUUCACAACCAGGUGAGAUUUUGCCUCCCAGGAAUAUCUGACAAUGUCUAGAGACAUUUUUGGUUGUCACACUGAGAGGGUGCUACUGGCAUUUAGUGGCUAGUGGCCAGGGGUGCUGCUAACCAUCUUACAAUGCACAGCAUAGCCUCCACAGAAAGAAAUAUCCAGCC